CCGCCUCCAGGUCGCCGGAGACCGCGGCCAGCGCCGCCGCCUGCGCGACGUUCGAGACGUUGGACGUGGC
rnacentral:tRNA from 1 species